GACGAACGCUGGCGGCGUGCUUAACACAUGCAAGUCGAACGGAAAGGCCCCUUUCGGGGUACUCGAGCGGCGGACGGGUGCGUAACACGUGCGUAACCUGACCUUGCCUUCGGGAUAACUUUAGGAAACUGGGGCUAAUACUGGAUAGGGAUCAUUUCUGCAUGCGGGGGGUUGGAAAGCUUCGGGGGGUUUGGAUGGACUCGCUGCUUAUCAGCUUGCUGGUGUGGUGGUGGGUUACCAAGGCGUGGACGGGUAGCCGGCCUGAGGGGGCGACCGGCCACACAGGGACUGAGGGGCGGCCCAGGCACCGACGGGAGGCAACAGGGGGGAAGCUUGCCGGAUGGGCGGAAGCCUGAUGCAGAAACGCCGCGGGCGGGAAGACGGCCUUCGGGUUGUAAAACGCUUUCAGCAGGGGCUAAGCUUGUGGUGACGGUACCUGCAGAAGAAGCACCGGCUAACUACGUG
rnacentral:rRNA from 1 species